rnacentral:rRNA from 1 species
UACGUAGGGUGCAAGCGUUAAUCGGAAUCACUGGGCGUAAAGCGCACGUAGGCGGACUCUUAAGUCGGUGGUGAAAUCCUGGAGCUCAACUCCAGAACUGCCUUCGAUACUGAGAGUCUCGAGUCCGGGAGAGGUGAGUGGAACUGCGAGUGUAGAGGUGAAAUUCGUAGAUAUUCGCAAGAACACCAGUGGCGAAGGCGGCUCACUGGCCCGAUACUGACGCUGAGGCACGAAAGCGUGGGGAGCAAACAGG